rnacentral:tRNA from 1 species
GCAGGUAUGGCGGAAAUGGAAUACGCAUGCGACUUAAGAUCGUAGGCCUUAGGGAUUGAGGGUUCAACUCCCUCUACCUGCA